AGGCUCAGGGUCUGUUGGAGAAGAGGUGGCGGAAAGAAUGUGAGAGCCAAAGGACGGAUACAUGAUGAAUGGAGCCAGCUCCGUCCUCUACCAUGAUGAAGCUUCCCCUUGAAACUCUAAAGGCCAUGCAAAAACUGAUACAGCUGCCCCUUCCACUGAUGGAACCAGCUAUAAGGAUGAGCAACAGACACAG